rnacentral:rRNA from 1 species
UACAGAGGUCUCAAGCGUUGUCCGGAAUUCUUUGGCGUAAAGAGCUCGUAGGCGGUGUGUCGCGUCGGCCGUGAAAACCUGCAGCUUAACUGUGGGCUUGCGGUCGAUACGGGCAUCACUGGAGUUCGGCAGGGGAGACUGGAAUUCCUGGUGUAGCGGUGAAAUGCGCAGAUAUCAGGAGGAACACCGGUGGCGAAGGCGGGUCUCUGGGCCGAUACUGACGCUGAGGAGCGAAAGCGUGGGGAGCGAACAGG